rnacentral:rRNA from 1 species
GACAGAGGUGCCGAGCGUUAGGCGGAAUCACUGGGCUUAAAGCGUGUGUAGGCGGAGUGCUAAGUACCUUGUGAAAUCCCACGGCUUAACCGUGGAACUGCUUGGUAUACUGGUUCUCUUGGGCCACUUAGGGGCUACCGGAACAAACGGUGGAGCGGUGAAAUGCGUAGAUAUCGUUUGGAACGCCAAUGGUGAAAACAGGUAGCUGGGAGUGUGCCGACGCUGAGACACGAAAGCCAGGGGAGCGAACGGG